AAGAAACUAAAGGUAAGUGGGACAGCGUAUUAUGUGAAGUAUGCAACUCAGCGCAAGGCUCUGUUACCGCACUCGGACGUGGCGUCGUAAAGAGGCAGCCUUACGCACCUUUGCGAGCGACGACAUUGUGCGCGUUACCGAUUCGCUUUGACUACGCCGAUCUGAGCGGAGCCAUGGCGCAUCGGCACGGCCUUAGGGGAGCGAAUUCGCGACAACUGCGAGAACAUGAAUCACUGUGGGGGCUGCAGGGUGGCUUUGCCAGUAGGAAGGGCGGAAAUUCCUGAAGAUGUAUUCAUCCAUGCUGCAUCAGCUGCUUGGUGUUUUCAUGGCAUCUCUGCACAUGUGCUGGGUUGAUCUUAAGCAGAAAACCAGAAGCGGCAGUGGUCUCCAGUAGAGACCCAAGGACCCCAAGCUCUCUGUGACACAAACAGGAAGGGCACUGUGGUGCAUUGAAAACCUGCGCCAGUAGUGCAUUACCAGUGCACUAUGCUGCUGUUUCAUCAAGGAGAAAGGAGGUGACCACCCUCAGAGGAACUUCAUGCUCUACAGUAUGCUUUUGAGUGUCACGUGGAGAAGUGUGGAAGGCGUUCCUCCAUGGAAGAGCGGUGACCGGAGCUUGAGCUGAUACCUGGCAGACAAGCUGGAUGUCAUUGCAACUGGUGGCGUAAGGAGAAGACAACAAGAUGCUUGUGUGGUUGUGCGUGCCGGGACUUGAUUGCGUCUUUUCUCAGACUAUACUGUUUUUACUUGUACACAUGUAAAAUAAAUAUUGUUU